CGGGGGAGGUCGGAUCCUGGGCUGUGUCCUGGCGCCCUGUGCUCCCGGCCUGCGCUGUUGUAUUCGCGCUUCCGCCCCGCAGCCCCCA
rnacentral:pre_miRNA from 1 species